UACGUAGGGUGCAAGCGUUAAUCGGAAUUACUGGGCGUAAAGCGUGCGCAGGCGGUUGUGCAAGACAGGUGUGAAAUCCCCGGGCUUAACCUGGGAACUGCACUUGUGACUGCACGGCUGGAGUACGGCAGAGGGGGAUGGAAUUCCGCGUGUAGCAGUGAAAUGCGUAGAUAUGCGGAGGAACACCGAUGACGAAGGCAGUCCCCUGGGCCUGUACUGACGCUCAUGCACGAAAGCGUGGGGAGCAAACAGG
rnacentral:rRNA from 1 species